rnacentral:rRNA from 1 species
GCCGAACGCUGGCGGCGUGCUUAACACAUGCAAGUCGAACGAAGUGGCGCACGGGUGAGUAACGCGUAAUCAACCUGCCCUUCAGCGGGGGACAACCGUUGGAAACGACUGCUAAUAACGCAUACUGAAGGAGGGGAUUGCGUCUGAUGAGCUAGUUGGAGGGGUAACGGCCCACCAAGGCGAUGAGCAGUAGCCGGUCUGAGAGGAUGAACGGCCACAUGGGGACUGAUACACGGCCAAGAUUCCUACGGGAGGCAGCAGUGGGGGAUCGUCCGCAAUGGACGAAAGUCUGACGGAGCAACGCCGCGUGAGUGAUGACGGCCUGCGGGUUGUAAAGGACUUUUGUCAGGGAAGCGGUACCUGAAGAAUAAGCACGGCUAACUACGUGCCAGCAGCCGCGGUAAUAC